rnacentral:rRNA from 1 species
CCUACGGGAGGCAGCAGUGGGGAAUAUUGCACAAUGGGGGGAACCCUGAUGCAGCAACGCCGCGUGGGUGAAGAAGUACUUCGGUAUGUAAAGCCCUGUCAGCAGGGAAGAAAAUGACGGUACCUGACCAAGAAGCCCCGGCUAACUACGUGCCAGCAGCCGCGGUAAUACGUAGGGGGCAAGCGUUAUCCGGAUUUACUGGGUGUAAAGGGAGCGUAGACGGCGAUGCAAGUCUGAAGUGAAAGGCGGGGGCCCAACCCCCGGACUGCUUUGGAAACUGUAUGGCUGGAGUGCAGGAGAGGUAAGUGGAAUUCCUAGUGUAGCGGUGAAAUGCGUAGAUAUUAGGAGGAACACCAGUGGCGAAGGCGGCUUACUGGACUGUAACUGACGUUGAGGCUCGAAAGCGUGGGGAGCAAACAGGAUUAGAUACCCCAGUAGUC